rnacentral:snRNA from 1 species
AUCCCUCAGUGAGGCAGGCGCUUCAUCCAGUGAGGUCUAUACCGAGGAGAAGUUUAUUGCUGAUUGCAAAUUACCUAUAUUGCACGUCCUUGCUGUCACCAUGACGGCCUGGCAAUUUUUGGCACCCAU